AGGGAAUCUUCCGCAAUGGACGAAGGUCUGACGGAGCAACGCCGCGUGAGUGAAGAAGGCCUUCGGGUCGUAAAACUCUGUUGCCGGGGAAGAACAAGUGCCGUUCGAACAGGGCGGCGCCUUGACGGUACCCGGCCAGAAAGCCACGGCUAACUACGUGCCAGCAGCCGCGGUAAUACGUAGGUGGCAAGCGUUGUCCGGAAUUAUUGGGCGUAAAGCGCGCGCAGGCGGCUUCUUAAGUCUGAUGGGAAAUCUUGCGGCUCAACCGCAAGCGGUCAUUGGAAACUGGGAGGCGUGAGUGCAGAAGAGGAGAGUGGAAUUCCACGUGUAGCGGUGAAAUGCGUAGAGAUGUGGAGGAACACCAGUGGCGAAGGCGACUCUCUGGGCUGUAACUGACGCUGAGGCGCGAAAGCGUGGGGAGCAAAC
rnacentral:rRNA from 1 species